AACUGCUGCAUUUUAUUGGUGAAGCACACGAACUCCACCAAUUAAAAGCCGAGAAACCGAAGGAGCACCUGAGAUGGAGUCUGUCCAGGACGUGAAGGAAGACCUGACAGGGACACUGCCUAGCCUAGUGGACCUUCUGCAAACACUCUCUGCAGAUACAAUCAUUGCCUGGCUGUCAUCCAGCUCUUUGAAGAAGAAAGAUGGAUCAAGGAAGCAUCAGAAUGCUACCGAGACACUGGAGCAGUACCAACACCUGAGGCCCCACUUUGCAACAAAUUUUACAGAUUUCCUGCAUGAAGACUGCAAACAUCUGCUGGGCUCGGAGGAGGCUCCGGCCACUCCCGGCGGCCCGGCACCGGCCGACCCGGCUGCCGGCGAGGGCCGCCCGGCAGCGCGCCGCCGGCUGGCCGUGGACGCCGUGCCGAUCCCGGUGCGCCGCCCCGACCACC
rnacentral:lncRNA from 1 species